GAUUAACGCUAGCGGCAGGCAUAAUACAUGCAAGUUGAACGGGAUUCAGGCAGCAAUGUUUGAUGAGAGUAGCGCACGGGUGCGUAACACGUAUGCAACCUGCCCCUGACUGGAGGAUAGCCUCUCGAAAGAGAGAUUAAUAUUCCAUAACAUAUAGAAUAAGCAUUUAUUUAUAUCAAAGCUCCGGCGGUCAGGGAUGGGCANGCGGCUGAUUAGGUAGUUGGUGAGGUAACGGCUCACCAAGCCGACGAUCAGUAGGGGGUCUGAGAGGAUCGU
rnacentral:rRNA from 1 species